ACGUACACUCCUACGGGAGGCAGCAGUGGGGAAUAUUGCACAAUGGGCGCAAGCCUGAUGCAGCCAUGCCGCGUGUAUGAAGAAGGCCUUCGGGUUGUAAAGUACUUUCAGCGGGGAGGAAGGCGAUAAGGUUAAUAUCCUUGUUGAUUGACGUUACCCGCAGAAGAAGCACCGGCUAACUCCGUGCCAGCAGCCGCGGUAAUACGGAGGGUGCAAGCGUUAAUCGGAAUUACUGGGCGUAAAGCGCACGCAGGCGGUCUGUCAAGUCGGAUGUGAAAUCCCCGGGCUCAACCUGGGAACUGCAUUCGAAACUGGCAGGCUAGAGUCUUGUAGAGGGGGGUAGAAUUCCAGGUGUAGCGGUGAAAUGCGUAGAGAUCUGGAGGAAUACCGGUGGCGAAGGCGGCCCCCUGGACAAAGACUGACGCUCAGGUGCGAAAGCGUGGGGAGCAAACAGGAUUAGAAACCCCUGUAGUCCCAUG
rnacentral:rRNA from 1 species